ACUUAGUUUGUAGGAAGUUUGUGGUCAAGUCGGAACAAUACAGAGAAGAUUAACACUGCCCCACAGAGUGACUUGCAGAUUUGUGAAAUAUUCAAGAAACAU